rnacentral:rRNA from 1 species
CCCCUUAUGUGUAGGGCUACACACGUGCUACAAUGGCUGGUACAGAGAGAUGCAAUACCGCGAGGUGGAGCCAAACUUAAAAACCAGUCUCAGUUCGGAUUGUAGGCUGAAACUCGCCUACAUGAAGCUGGAGUUACUAGUAAUCGCGAAUCAGAAUGUCGCGGUGAAUACGUUCCCGGGUCUUGUACACACCGCCCGUCACACCAUGAGAGUUGGCAAUACCCGAAGUCCGUGAGCUAACCGUAAGGAGGCAGCGGCCGAAGGUAGGGUCAGCGAUUGGGGUGAAGUCGUAACAAGGUAGCCGUAGGAGAACCUGCGGCUGGAUCACCUCCUUUCUAAGGAA